rnacentral:snRNA from 1 species
GUGCUCGCUUCAAGCAGCACAUAUACUAAAAUUGGGAUGAUACAGAGAUGAUUAGCCUGGUCCUGCAAGAGAAUGAUAUGCAAAUUAGUGAAGCAUUCUGAGUUUUA